AGAGUUUGAUCCUGGCUCAGAGUGAACGCUGGCGGCAGGCCUAACACAUGCAAGUCGAGCGGCAGCGGGUCCUUCGGGAUGCCGGCGAGCGGCGGACGGGUGAGGAAUGCAUCGGAAUCUGCCCUGAUGUGGGGGAUAACGUAGGGAAACUUACGCUAAUACCGCAUACGCCCUGAGGGGGAAAGCGGGGGACCGUAAGGCCUCGCGCGAUUAGAGCGGCCGAUAUCUGAUUAGCUUGUUGGUGGGGUAAAAGCCCACCAAGGCGACGAUCAGUAGCUGGUCUGAGAGGACGAUCAGCCACACUGGGACUGAGACACGGCCCAGACUCCUACGGGAGGCAGCAGUGGGGAAUUUUGGACAAUGGGGGCAACCCUGAUCCAGCAAUGCCGCGUGAGUGAAGAAGGCCUUCGGGUUGUAAAGCUCUUUUGUCAGGGAAGAAACAGCAGCUCUAACACAGUCUGCGAAUGACGGUACC
rnacentral:rRNA from 1 species